GUGCUACCACACCAAAUAGCUUCCCUUACAUGAGGAGGAGCCAAGGUUGGGCCUUCAAGAAAAGAAGAGUUGUGACUUAGUGGUACUCCAAGAAGAGCUGUUGUAGCUUUUGCAUAGGUGUCAGCACUAACUCUCCUUAAAACAAUAUAUUCUAUAAUCUAUUUAUUUCCUAUAACAGAAAGAAAAGAAAACAUUAAUUAAAUGAUAAGCCUUAAUAAGACAAUAUAUACUUUGAGUUUUGCCCUUUCACAG